CAAUUUUUCGAGCAUUCAUUCUUCUAACCUAUAAAAAAUAUACAUUAAAUAUUUACCUAUGAAAAGUAACACCUUCUGCUCCGUAGAGCUUAUGGCAAAUGCAGCAGGAACGUACCAUAUUAUUUAAUCGUAUACGCAGCAUAUACGAAGUAACCGAAUAAAAUUGGCGAUGUCACGUUGCUUUCUCCUCAUCUCGUAUACGCAUGCUCGCUUCGUUUCCAUCUUAUCCCUUCAGUUCCCACCACGAGACGAAAGAGAAGGACAGAGAGUCCCGGAAUCAUCUCUCUAUCCUUUAGAUCUUUCAACGCUACUUCUUACGGUAGGGGCCAGUCUAUUCUAUAAGUCUAUGGGUCCAUGCGAUUGCGUAAUUACAUAUGGCGAUUGAUAGCGAUAUUGUAAAAAGUGUCAAAAUAGGAAGAGUCAUAAUGGAAGAGUCAUUGAUGAUUCACUACUAUUACUGUCACUCAUUUCAUCAAUUAAAAACAUUGUCACAUUGAUAGCGCAAUUUAUUGUGGAAUCCAUUUUGAUUUUCUGCUUCUAAUGCGUUCAAUAUCGUUCCGUUUCAAAGCAUUUAUCAUGCGCAUAAUGAAACGAAACGCAGCCAAUGCGCUAAGCAUUAGCGAUGCGAAUGAUGCGUGCUAUGCGCAAAACGGAACGCAACCAAAGACACAUGACUGACACCAACCCAGCGAACCUAAAUUGACAUACUGUGAUUAUUGUAAACCUGAUUUCUUAUAUACUGUGUUUAAAAAAAAUGGGUAGUUGUAAAAUUUGUGGUCGAUCAAAAUCGAAAUCCAAAAAUACAUCUAUAACUUUUCACAUGUUUCCUAAAGAUCCAGAAAGACGGAAGAAAUGGAUACAAUUUGUUGAUCACCCAGAUUGGGAACCAACAAAUUACAGUUUGUUAUGUUCUGUUCACUUUACAAGUGAUGAUUUUGAAACGAAUACAGGUACGAGAAGACGAUUAAAAUCUGAUGCAAUUCCUUCUGUGCACAUUCAGCGAAUCAAAUAUACACGGAAUUUUGAUACAGAGAUCUGUGAUUCUUUUAAAGACAAUAAA